rnacentral:rRNA from 1 species
CGAAAGCUAUUUAGGUAGCGCCUCGUGAAUUCAUCUCCGGGGGUAGAGCACUGUUUCGGCAAGGGGGUCAUCCCGACUUACCAACCCGAUGCAAACUGCGAAUACCGGAGAAUGUUAUCACGGGAGACACACGGCGGGUGCUAACGUCCGUCGUGAAGAGGGAAACAACCCAGACCGCCAGCUAAGGUCCCAAAGUCAUGGUUAAGUGGGAAACGAUGUGGGAAGGCCCAGACAGCCAGGAUGUUGGCUUAGAAGCAGCCAUCAUUUAAAGAAAGCGUAAUAGCUCACUGGUCGAGUCGGCCUGCGCGGAAGAUGUAACGGGGCUAAACCAUGCACCGAAGCUGCGGCAGCGACGCUGAUGCGUUGUUGGGUAGGGGAGCGUUCUGUAAGCCUGCGAAGGUGUGCUGUGAGGCAUGCUGGAGGUAUCAGAAGUGCGAAUGCUGACAUAAGUAACGAUAAAGCGGGUGAAAAGCCCGCUCGCCGGAAGACCAAGGGUUCCUGUCCAACGUUAAUCGGGGCAGGGUGAGUCGACCCCUAAGGCGAGGCCGAAAGGCGUAGUCGAUGGGAAACAGGUUAAUAUUCCUGUACUUGGUGUUACUGCGAAGGGGGGACGGAGAAGGCUAUGUUGGCCGGGCGACGGUUGUCCCGGUUUAAGCGUGUAGGCUGGUUUUCCAGGCAAAUCCGGAAAAUCAAGGCUGAGGCGUGAUGACGAGGCACU